rnacentral:rRNA from 1 species
GACGAACGCUGGCGGCGUGCUUAACACAUGCAAGUCGAACGGAAAGGCCCUGCUUUUGUGGGGUGCUCGAGUGGCGAACGGGUGAGUAACACGUGAGUAACCUGCCCUUGACUUUGGGAUAACUUCAGGAAACUGGGGCUAAUACCGGAUAGGAGCUCCUGCUGCAUGGUGGGGGUUGGAAAGUUUCGGCGGUUGGGGAUGGACUCGCGGCUUAUCAGCUUGUUGGUGGGGUAGUGGCUUACCAAGGCUUUGACGGGUAGCCGGCCUGAGAGGGUGACCGGCCACAUUAGGACUGAGAUACGGCACAGACUCCUACGGGAGGCAGCAGUGGGAAAUAUUGCACAAUGGGCAGAAGCCUGAUGCAGCAACGCCGCGUGCGGGAUGACGGCCUUCGGGUUGUAAACCGCUUUCGCCUGUGACGAAGCGUGAGUGACGGUAAUGGGUAAAGAAGCACCGGCUAACUACGUG